GAGUUUGCUCAUGGCUCAGGAUGAACGCUAGCGGCAGGCUUAACACAUGCAAGUCGAGGGGUAACGGGGAAGCUUGCUUCCGCCGACGACCGGCGCACGGGUGCGUAACGCGUAUACAAUCUACCUUGUACUGGGGUAUAGCCUUUAGAAAUGAAGAUUAACCCCCCAUAGUCUCUUAGAGUGGCAUCACUUCUAGAGUAAAGGUUACGGUAUAAGAUGAGUAUGCGUUCUAUUAGUUUGUUGGUGUGGUAACGGCACACCAAGACUACGAUAGAUAGGGGCCCUGAGAGGGGGAUCCCCCACACUGGUACUGAGACACGGACCAGACUCCUACGGGAGGCAGCAGUGAGGAAUAUUGGACAAUGGAGGCAACUCUGAUCCAGCCAUGCCGCGUGCAGGAAGACUGCCCUAUGGGUUGUAAACUGCUUUUAUACAGGAAGAAACACCUCUACGUGUAGAGGCUUGACGGUACUGUAAGAAUAAGGAUCGGCUAACUCCGUGCCAGCAGCCGCGGUAAUACGGAGGAUCCAAGCGUUAUCCGGAAUCAUUGGGUUUAAAGGGUCCGUAGGUGGAUAAUUAAGUCAGAGGUGAAAUCUUGCAGCUCAACUGUAAAAUUGCCUUUGAAACUGGUUAUCUUGAGUUAUUAUGAAGUAGUUAGAAUAUGUAGUGUAGCGGUGAAAUGCAUAGAUAUUACAUAGAAUACCCAUUGCGAAGGCAGAUUACUAAUAAUCAACUGACACUGAUGGACGAAAGCGUGGGUAGCGAACAGGAUUAGAUACCCUGGUAGUCCACGCCGUAAACGAUGGUUACUAGCUGUUUGGACUUCGGUCUGAGUGGCUAAGCGAAAGUGAUAAGUAACCCACCUGGGGAGUACGUUCGCAAGAAUGAAACUCAAAGGAAUUGACGGGGGCCCGCACAAGCGGUGGAGCAUGUGGUUUAAUUCGAUGAUACGCGAGGAACCUUACCAGGGCUUAAAUGUAAGUUGCAUUAGUUAGAGAUAGCUAUUUCUUCGGACCACUUACAAGGUGCUGCAUGGUUGUCGUCAGCUCGUGCCGUGAGGUGUCAGGUUAAGUCCUAUAACGAGCGCAACCCCUGUUGUUAGUUGCCAGCGAGUCAUGUCGGGAACUCUAGCAAGACUGCCAGUGCAAACUGUGAGGAAGGUGGGGAUGACGUCAAAUCAUCACGGCCCUUACGUCCUGGGCUACACACGUGCUACAAUGGUAGGUACAGAGAGCAGCCACUGCGCGAGCAGGAGCGAAUCUAUAAAACCUAUCACAGUUCGGAUCGGAGUCUGCAACUCGACUCCGUGAAGCUGGAAUCGCUAGUAAUCGGAUAUCAGCCAUGAUCCGGUGAAUACGUUCCCGGGCCUUGUACACACCGCCCGUCAAGCCAUGGAAGUUGGAAGUGCCUGAAGUCCGUCACCGUAAGGAGCGGCCUAGGGUAAAGUCGAUAACUAGGGCUAAGUCGUAACAAGGUAACC
rnacentral:rRNA from 1 species